AGCUCUCAAGGUGUAUAUCGCCAUUGCUGCGGUUAAAAAGCUCGUAGUUGGAUCUACGGUUGAGGAACCGGUCCAUCCAAUGGAUGCGAACUGGUUUCCCGGCCUUUGGGCGCUGGUCUACCCUUGAUGCUCUUCACCGGGUGUCGUGGGUGGCUAGCGAGUUUACUUUGAAAAAAUUAGAGUGCUCAAGACAGGCUUGAUGCCUGAAUAGUGGUGCAUGGAAUAAUAGAAUAGGACCUCGGUCCAUUUUGUUGGUUUUGGUGCCGAGAUAAUGGUUAAGAGGGACAGACGGGGGCAUUCGUAUCGCUGCGUGAGAGGUGAAAUUCUUGGACCGUAGCGAGACGAACUACUGCGAAAGCAUUUGCCAAGAAUGUCUUCAUUAAUCAAGAACGAAAGUAGG
rnacentral:rRNA from 1 species